rnacentral:lncRNA from 1 species
CAAAAUAUGUGAAAUGAAGAGUUGCUAUAAGACCUUUGUUUUGAUGAGUAUAGUUUCAUAAUCAUCAUAGAUUUUUAUAGGAGUUGAGAAUUGGAGAAAGAAUAAUAUUAUUUACACAUUUUAAAAUUUUAUUUUUUGUAUCAUAGUAAUUUAAUAUGAAUGAAAGUUAAGGAUCUCGUGGGUAAUAAUCAAGUCGGACAAAAAAAAAACCAGUGGUUGGGUUUUGUUUUUUUUAAAGAGAAGAUAAAGUUUGAUUAUUUUUUUUAUUUUUUUUUUUUUUUUUUUUUGGUAGUGCUUUUUUUAUUUUUUAUUUGUCUUUAUAAAGUUUGAUUAAUGGAAUGGUGCAAAACAAAAACGUGCAAAUCUGACCAAAGAUUCCUAAAAUAAUUGGAACUAGAUAAACGCAAGAUGUGGGAAUAUUUUUUAUUUUUCUGUGUUAAUAAGACUUAAACUAGUUUUAUAUUUUGCCUUCGUAACCAAGAUGUGUACACA